UGCCACAGGCUGCUCACCCU
rnacentral:misc_RNA from 1 species